rnacentral:rRNA from 1 species
AACAAACGCUGGCGGCAUGCCUAAUACAUGCAAGUCGAACGAUCACUUCGGUGGUAGUGGCGCACGGGUGCGUAACGCGUGGGAAUCUGCCCUUGGGUUCGGAAUAACGUCGGGAAACUGACGCUAAUACCGGAUGAUGACGUAAGUCCAAAGAUUUAUCGCCCAGGGAUGAGCCCGCGUAGGAUUAGCUAGUUGGUGGGGUAAAGGCCUACCAAGGCGACGAUCCUUAGCUGGUCUGAGAGGAUGAUCAGCCACACUGGGACUGGGACACGGCCCAGACUCCUACGGGACGCAGCAGUAGGGAAUAUUGGACAAUGGGGGCAACCCUGAUCCAGCAAUGCCGCGUGAGUGAUGAAGGCCUUAGGGUUGUAAAGCUCUUUUACCCGGGAUGAUAAUGACAGUACCGGGAGAAUAAGCCCCGGCUAACUCCGUGCCAGCAGCCGCCGUAA